GACGAACGCUGGCGGCGUGCUUAACACAUGCAAGUCGAACGAUGAACCGAGAGCUUGCUCUUGGGGAUUAGUGGCGAACGGGUGAGUAACACGUGAGUAACCUGCCCUGGACUCUGGGAUAACCCCGAGAAAUCGGAGCUAAUACCGGAUAGGACCUUGCACCGCAUGGUGUGGGGUGGAAAGUUUUUUCGGUUUGGGAUGGACUCGCGGCCUAUCAGCUUGUUGGUGAGGUAAUGGCUCACCAAGGCGUCGACGGGUAGCCGGCCUGAGAGGGUGACCGGCCACACUGGGACUGAGACACGGCCCAGACUCCUACGGGAGGCAGCAGUGGGGAAUAUUGCACAAUGGGCGCAAGCCUGAUGCAGCAACGCCGCGUGCGGGAUGACGGCCUUCGGGUUGUAAACCGCUUUUAGUAAGGAAGAAGGGGAGCUUGCUCCUUGACGGUACUUGCAGAAAAAGGACCGGCUAACUACGUGCCAGCCGCCGCCGUAAAAC
rnacentral:rRNA from 1 species